GUUUUACGAGCAAAUACCAAACAAAAAAUUGAUUUCGCGAAUACUUUUAAGCUGUGCACCACGAUUGCUGUGAUUUCAAAUCACAAUCACAAAAGUGAGAUACCUCAAUCUACAACUAAGCAUUUUUGCAGUCUCUAAACCAACACCCACAAGCAAUAUAAGUCACAAUAAUUUACAAAAAAAAGAAAGCAACAAACAUACGACAAGUGUACUAAUUAAAAAUUCAACUUGAACUUAAUUAAAAACAAGGAGAACCCUCGACUAAAUAAAGCUGCAAUAGACAAAAGCAAUUGGAGCUCUAACAAUUGGAGGAAAAAGAGCCAGGAACGCCCACAACACGAAGACGUCCCGCACAAAGCCCAGAGCACCAGACAGUAGAAAGAUAAAAUGGGAGCGCGCGCCAAACAAUGCAAAUAAAAAUGAAGAACAACAUUUGCAUAUUUAUUAGGGCAUACCAAAUAUUUAUUUAUUUGCAAUUCUCGAACCCAAAUAGCGACAAUCAUUUUUCAAUGUCAAUCAGCAUUUGCCAUAUGCCAGAUUUGUAGCAAAAGAUACUAUCCUACCCUUCGAAGUGGAA